rnacentral:rRNA from 1 species
UACAGAGGGUGCAAGCGUUAAUCGGAAUUACUGGGCGUAAAGCGUGCGUAGACGGUUACAUAAGUCGGGUGUGAAAGCCCCGGGCUCAACCUGGGAAUUGCAUUCGAGACUGCGUAGCUAGGGUGCGGAAGAGGGGAGCGGAAUUUCCGGUGUAGCGGUGAAAUGCGUAGAUAUCGGAAGGAACACCAGUGGCGAAAGCGGCUUCCUGGUCCAGCACCGACGUUCAGGCACGAAAGCGUGGGGAGCAAACAGG